rnacentral:lncRNA from 1 species
UCUCUUGGAGUUCUAGCUCACCUUUCUGGUGUUGUUCUUGUACUCAUCUGUUUAAUCUAGUUCUGCCACUUCUUCUUGAACUUCUUGUUAGAUUUCAAGUCUGUAUUUUGUGUCCGUGACAGACUAUUGCCAAAGACUAGAAAACAUAAGACUCUUGAAACUAGACUAAAAACCAAAAAAAGAAUUGACAAGAGUGAAGAAGGCCUCACUUUUGCCUCUAUAUAUACUUCUUAACUAAGGAAUAUGUAGCGACAUAUUAUAGGACCUCUAAUAUGAGUCUAACUUACAG